GCACAUAAAGAAAUGAGUAUUCAUUUCUUUAUUUUUUCUUUUUUUAUAAAUAGAAUUUUCCUUUAUGUCUUAGGUCCUUUCUCCCCUCUCCACACCUUAGAAGGAUCAUCCAUCAAAUAGAUAUCUACUUAAGAUGAACAAGGAGAAAAACCAGAAUUGAAUACCAAGAAGGGAAUAUGCUGAAUUGCCUUCAAAAUAUUGUCCAGUACUUUCUCCAGACCAUGCCUACUCCUUAUCACAAAGGAAAAAAUUUUCACUGAAUGAGUUUUCCUGGUAAUGAUGAAUAUCUGCCAAUCUUGGAGUAUCAUCCUGACAAUGGAAAGAGAGUUCCUGAUGACCAAAAGGCACUCAAGACAUGAAUCCUCCAAGUCCAGUGGCAAGAUAAAAAAGUCAGAAUGAUUGGCAAUAGCUCAGGACACAGCGUGUGACUGGCAUCUCCGAUUCCUGACCAAGCUUGAGAUGCUGCACAG
rnacentral:lncRNA from 1 species